UACUAGCGUUACUUACUGAUAAAGCUGU
rnacentral:sRNA from 1 species